UACGUAGGGGGGCAAGCGUUGUCCGGAUUUAUUGGGCGUAAAGAGCGUGUAGGCGGUCAGGUAGGUCGGUUGUGAAAACUGGAGGCUCAACCUUCAGAGGUCGACCGAAACCCCCUGGCUAGAGUCCGGGAGAGGAGAGUGGAAUUCCUGGUGUAGCGGUGAAAUGCGCAGAUAUCAGGAAGAACACCCGUGGCGAAAGCGGCUCUCUGGAACGGUACUGACGCUGAGGAGCGAAAGCGUGGGGAGCGAACAGG
rnacentral:rRNA from 1 species